GUUAGGGUAUUGGCACACACCUGUAGUCCCAGCUACUCGGGAGGCUGAGACAGGAGGAUCAUUUGAAUCCAGGAGUUCUGGGAUGCAGUGCCCUGUACCAAUUGGGUGUCUGCACUAAGUUCGGCAUCAGUAUGGUGACCUCCGGGAGCAGGGGACCAUGAGGUUGCCUAAGGAGGGGUGAACUGGCCCAGGUCAGAAACGGAGCAGGUCAAAACUCCUGUGCUGAUCAGUAUCCUUUUUAUUUAUGUAUAUGAGUGUUUUGCAUGAAUGUAUGUAUGUNCAUCAAU
rnacentral:SRP_RNA from 1 species